GCGCACGCUGGCGGCAGGCCUAACACAUGCAAGUCGCACGAACCUUUCGGGGUUAGUGGCGGACGGGUGAGUAACACGUGGGAACGUGCCUUUAGGUUCGGAAUAACUCAGGGAAACUUGUGCUAAUACCGAAUGUGCCCUUCGGGGGAAAGAUUAAUCGCCUUUAGAGCGGCCCGCGUCUGAUUAGCUAGUUGGUUGAGGUAAUGGCUCACCAAGGCGACGAUCAGUAGCUGGUCUGAGAGGAUGAUCAGCCACAUUGGGACUGAGACACGGCCCAAACUCCUACGGGAGGCAGCAGUGGGGAAUCUUGCGCAAUGGGCGAAAGCCUGACGCAGCCAUGCCGCGUGAAUGAUGAAGGUCUUAGGAUUGUAAAAUUCUUUCACCGGGGACGAUAAUGACGGUACCCGGAGAAGAAGCCCCGGCUAACUUCGUG
rnacentral:rRNA from 1 species